GAUGAAGAACGCAGCGAAAUGCGAUAAGUAGUGUGAAUUGCAAAAUUCCGUGAAUCAUCGAAUCUUUGAACGCACAUUGCGCCUUCUGGUAUUCCGGAAGGCAUGCCUGUUCGAGAGUCAUUAACAACCGUUUCGAUCCCUUUCUUUCAGAAAUUACAAAGAGGAAAAGGGUUUGGUUAUGGUGGAGGAGGGAAAGGGAGCGUUUAGCCUGUAAAAAAAGAGGCUGUGUUCCGCCUCCCCCCCAAAAUUGUACAGGCGGUCGUGUGCGCCCACGCAUCGAGGUGUUGUAAAAGCUGCCACGGCACUUUUCACCUGUGCAGUGCGAGAUUGGCCAGCCGGUUUAAAAACCCCUCCAAACAAACAAAGGUUGACCUCGGAUCAGGUAGGGAUACCCGCUGAACUUAAGCAUAUCAAUAAGCGGAGGA
rnacentral:misc_RNA from 1 species